rnacentral:lncRNA from 1 species
AUUUUUUCACCUGAAUCUCAGAAAUAAAGCUGAAGUUCCUGCUCCCAUACAAUUGCAGUCACAAGGAAGGAAGACACUGUUGUUCUCAAAGCUUCAAGGAACACAGAAGCUGAAGUAAGCUGCAAUCUGAAUGCAACUUUAGGCUUUAAAAUUAAGACACCCAAGAGACCUGAAAAUGAACCUUUGAAUCCUGAAGCGAGAGAUGAUUAUGAUUCAAAUUAAAGACAAAAUGGACAGUACCAAUAAUUAUUUUUACAUAAGGAUUCUGAAAAAGUUUCUUUUCCUGCAAUGAAAACCAGUAAUUUGCACAACUUUGCAUGUAGUUGCUGUUUGUACUUUCCAUAAAGG